ACGGGAGGCAGCAGUGGGGAAUAUUGCACAAUGGGGGAAACCCUGAUGCAGCAACGCCGCGUGAAGGAAGAAGGUUUUCGGAUCGUAAACUUCUAUCAAUAGGGACGAAGGAAAUGACGGUACCUAAAUAAGAAGCCCCGGCUAACUACGUGCCAGCAGCCGCGGUAAUACGUAGGGGGCGAGCGUUAUCCGGAAUUACUGGGUGUAAAGGGAGCGUAGGCGGCAUGGUAAGUAAGAUGUGAAAGCCCGCAGCUUAACUGCGAGGAUUGCAUUUUAAACUAUCAAGCUAGAGUACAGGAGAGGAAAGCGGAAUUCCUAGUGUAGCGGUGAAAUGCGUAGAUAUUAGGAAGAACACCAGUGGCGAAGGCGGCUUUCUGGACUGAAACUGACGCUGAGGCUCGAAAGCGUGGGGAGCGAACAGGAUUAGAUACCCUGGUA
rnacentral:rRNA from 1 species